rnacentral:rRNA from 1 species
UGGGGAAUCUUGCGCAAUGGGCGAAAGCCUGACGCAGCAACGCCGCGUGGGGGAUUACGGCCUUCAGGUUGUAAACCUCUUUCGACCGGGACGAAGGAUUCGUUUGACGGUACCGGUAGAAGAAGCACCGGCUAACUACGUGCCAGCAGCCGCGGUAAUACGUAGGGUGCGAGCGUUGUCCGGAAUUAUUGGGCGUAAAGAGCUCGUAGGCGGUUUGUCGCGUCGGCCGUGAAAUCCCCGAGCUCAACUUGGGAACUGCGUUUGGAACUGUCAGACUAGAGUGCGUCAGAGGGGGGUGGAAUUCCGCGUGUAGCAGUGAAAUGCGUAGAGAUGCGGAGGAACACCGAUGGCGGAGGCAGCCCCCUGGGAUGACACUGACGCUCAUGCACGAAAGCGUGGGGAGCAAACA